rnacentral:rRNA from 1 species
AAACCAGCACCUCAAGUGGUCAGGAUGAUUAUUGGGCCUAAAGCAUCCGUAGCCGGCUCAGUAAGUUUUCGGUUAAAUCUGUACGCUCAACGUACAGGCUGCCGGGAAUACUGCAGAGCUAGGGAGUGGGAGAGGUAGACGGUACUCGGAAGGAAGUGGUAAAAUGCUUUGAUUUUUCGAUGACCACCUGUGGCGAAGGCGGUCUACCAGAACACGUCCGACGGUGAGGGAUGAAAGCUGGGGGAGCAAACCGGAUUAGAAACCCCAGUAGUCC